rnacentral:rRNA from 1 species
UCGCCUGUUUUUCAAAAACAUGUCUUUUUGAAUUAUAUAUAAAGUCUAACCUGCCCACUGAAAAUUUUAAAUGGCCGCAGUAUUUUGACUGUGCAAAGGUAGCAUAAUCAUUAGUCUUUUAAUUGAAGGCUGGAAUGAAUGGUUGGACGAAAUAUUAACUGUUUCAUUUAAAAUUUUUAUAGAAUUUUAUUUUUUAGUCAAAAAGCUAAAAUUUAUUUAAAAGACGAGAAGACCCUAUAAAUCUUUAUAUUUUUUUUUAUUUUAAUUAUAUAGAUUAAUUAAAUUUUAAUAAAUAAAAAUAUUUUAUUGGGGUGAUAUUAAAAUUUAAAAAACUUUUAAUUUUUUAAAAACAUAAAUUUAUGAAUAUUUGAUCCAUUAAUAAUGAUUAAAAAAUUAAGUUACUUUAGGAUAACAGCGUAAA